UUACUCCUUACAUCUGAUCUGUGUAACGCAUAUAAACAUUAACAUAUAUAUAUAUAGAACUUGAUUAUGAAUGGGCGAAUAUGAAAUGUAGUAAAAACACAUUUGGAGAAAAGCAAAAUUUGUAUCUUGUACUAACAUGGAGGAGGCGGGUUCUGACCUAAACUCCAGAUUGAGAUGUUCUAGUUUCAGGAGCUGUCAUGUCGUCCAUCUUUAUUCACAGUCUGUGGUCCGCAUUCACAAAUACCACAGUGAACUCACUACCGCCACCUAUUGAUGUGGGAAGGACACGACAUGACAACUCACGAGAAGCAGGAAGUCAGUUUUGGUUUUGUGUCUCGAGUUCAAAUCACGUUUUAUUUACACUUAUCUAAUUCAUCAUAACAGCAUCACAGCGAGAGGAACUUUAAUCCCUGGACUUGUUUCUCAGGGACGGUUUUAAGCAGCGGAUUUUCGACGUUAACACUUGAGUCUGUUGGAAACUCCUGAGGGAACCAGGUCAGGCCCGUCUUCUCCUCUAUCCACCCGUUGUAGUUGGUCACUCGGGUGUAGACGCCGGGUCGGAACUCCUUGGCGCAGCCGUCGCCCCAGCUGAUGACUCCGAACAGAAAGAGCCGCUGGUCGACCUCGCACACCAGUGGCCCGCCCGAGUCUCCCUGUGGGACGAGACGAGCAGCGUUAGAGGAAGUUCAGCAAAUCGAGACUCGAGUCCGGACAUGUAGAAAUACCUCGCAGGCGUCCUGGCUCCAGUCGGGUCGACCGGCACAAAACAUGUUGUCGGUGAUCAUGUUUUCAUAAUAGUCCUUGUGUCGACACACGUCGUCGGAGAGGAGGUUCACCUGAGCCUCCCGGAGGAACUGAGACCGGUACCACAGCCCUGCAGAGGAAGAGGAAGGACUCACACACUUGUUGUGGUUUGUACAUUGAGUUUAACUCAAGAGAGGCAAAACUAUUUAUAUUACUCAGGUGUUCUAUCAAAGAGAAGUGUUUCCAUACUGGAAACAUGUGGACACCACCAUCAGACACCACAACGCCAUCCGGAGAACCUCCCUCACCUUGACUCUCUUUCCCGUAUCCGGCGAUCUCACAGGUGACACCGGGCUGGAGGUUCUGCAGAGGCGGCGGCAGACACACAAGCUUCACCAUGUUGCUCUCCACCGCGCACUGACCUCCUCGAGGCCUCAGCUUCACCAGCGCUGCAGGAGUCACAGCUUUGGUUACACCAUCAUCAGAUCUCUCAUUCCCACUCCGCACCCUGAACAUCUGUAUCUAGAACAUCUCCGGCUGUUUUCAGACCUGCAACAUGAACAUGGUCCUGAAAUGUUCUCCAUGUUGGAACACAAAUGUCCCAGUCAGUUGCUUUGGAGAUUGCUUGGACUUAGAAGUUAUUCAAAACCAGAGUUUAUCUCCAAUAUUCCGCAGGAAGCUUUUAAAAUAUGAAGAAUUUUAAACAGAGUUUGGUGGAUUUGUUUCAGCUUCAGGAAGCAGAGGAUCAUGGGUAAUGUGGAGCCUUCAGUUCAGUGAGUUGCUGAGCUUCAAUCAACACUUUGAUAAACCACUUGACUAACCCUAACCUAAUUAUCACGUGUGGCUGCAGGGGGCGCUGUUGAACAUUCAAAGUGACCUAGUGUUGCUUUAAGGUCAGUGUGAGGAAUAAGGUUAAUGAACUUUGAGGUGGAUGAUGGAUCAAUGGAUUCAGAAUGAAGGACGAAGGACGAGGGUUUCAAAACCUCAUGAAGAUAAUGGUAUCAGACACAAGUUAUUAAAUGUAUCUUGAAGUGUUCGUACCGAUGUCGUGGUUGAAGCUGCCCUCACUGUUGUCGAAGGCUUCAUGGACGAUGAUCUUCUCCACUCUGAACGUCUGCUCUGUCGGGUCACUCUGGUUCAGGGCGUUCUUCCCCAGAGCGACAGAGAAGCGCCGCUCUUUGGUGUGAGAGCUGAAACACAAGUUCACAACAAUCGGUCCAGUCCUGCCUCAUCUCUCUCAGCACCUGCUGUGGUUCCCAGUAAGUGAUCUCACUCCCUACCCGUCGGGGAAGCAGUGGGCGGCGGUGAGGACCCAGCAGGCGGAGAUCAGACUCCCCCCGCAGCGGAAAACCUUCUCCUUGGAUGUGCUGCGAUAGAAGAUGGCAGCGACCCACGGGUGUGAUUCCAAUGUGGCAACUGUUCCACCCACGAUCUUGGUUUGCUUUGGUCUGGUGCGCCGGCCACAUUCUGCAGCUGCAGGAUUCAACAGAGCUCGUUAAUGGGACACGCAUCAUUCUACCUGCAGUGUGGCCUCACCUGGCAGAUCUGUGGAUCCAGGUGAAGGUGAAGCUGGAACUACAAGAUCAGACAUGUUUGUUAAACUCAACAUCCUGGAUUAUAAAAACUUUUAUGUUUUCUUGGAGUAGAAAAUAUAAAAACUUACGUGACUCUGAGCUACAACGUGGAAUAUCACAAUACUCCCGCCGCAGCUGAUGGUUCUUCAGAACGUGACACCAAGGACGUCUUCUGAGGUUAAGAUUUCUGUCGGACAAAAUAAAAAAACUAUCAUAUUGAUUUUCAUUGAUACGUUUUCAUCCUGUGCACCUGUGUAGUAGUUCUACUUAUUUAUUGAGAUGCAUAUCAAACUUCUAUUUGACCAUAAAUCCUCAUUAUCCAAUUAAUUAGACAACAACCAAACCUGGAUAAUCAACAGAACAAUGAAUUAAUUACUAACUCAGUUCAGAAUUUAACUUUAUAUGACUUUUAAAAAAUAUUUUCCAUCUAGUUUUGCUUAAAAAAAACAAAAAAAAACAAAAGAAAAAUUAUUAAUAUUCCCAGUGGUUCAACGUAAGAUGUGUCUUCAGCACCGUGAAUGCAUGAUUCUUAUAUAAAUCAAAACAGUAGAUGCAGUUAAUGAUGUAGUAGACUUUUGCAUUAGGGAGUCGACUGCACAUAAAUCUAAAAUGUGUUACUUUUACUUUCACUUAAGUACAUUUACAUUUAUGUGUACUUAUUUGUACGUUUACUGAAAUAAAAGGUUUGAGUACUUCCUCCACAACUGAAUAUUACGAACGGCAGAUGGAUAGAAACAAUUAAUGUUACGUAAAUUCUUUAUAACUGUGGCCUUGUGGUACUUUUUAGGUUUUUAACGAUUUUCAAACAGUUCAGUCUCACAGGAAGUGAUUCAUAUCAAAGUAUAUCAACAUGUACCUGCAGUAGUUGUGUCUUCCUGCUUUGACGUCUGAUGCCAUGAAUCUCUCUCUGGUUUCUGAAUCCCACUCCUCACAUGUCCGUCCACUCUGGGACUGGGACACUCGUCCUCUGUAGUACAGUCCCACUCCGUCGUAGCACUGACGACCUUCCACUGAAGAGACAAACAGGAUUUGUAUUAUAUUCAAAAUGGACUAAAGAUGAAUGUUAUUAGUUUCCCACCUGUUUCACAGCGUCUUCCCUCGAAACCAUCAGCACACAGACAGAACAUGUGUUCCCCACUGGUCAGUGAUGGGACAGAGGUUCCUCCGUUCAGACAAGUUCCACCUGAAGAACAUCACAGACACGUCAAAUAACUCAGGAACUCAAGACCAGAGACUCGUGCAGAGUUUCUCACCUGAACUCUCAAA